CCUACGGUGUGCUGCAGUGGGGAAUAUUGCGCAAUGGGCGAAAGCCUGACGCAGCGACGCCGCGUGAGGGAUGAAGGUCUUCGGAUCGUAAACCUCUGUCAGCAGGGAAGAACGGUCACUGUGCUAAUCAGCAGUGAAUUGACGGUACCUGCAAAGGAAGCACCGGCUAACUCCGUGCCAGCAGCCGCGGUAAUACGGAGGGUGCGAGCGUUAAUCGGAAUUACUGGGCGUAAAGCGCUCGUAGGCGGUAUGUCAAGUCAAGGGUGAAAUCCCCGCGCUCAACGUGGGAACUGCCUUUGAAACUGGCAAACUGGAGUGUGUGAGAGGAUAGUGGAAUUCCAGGUGUAGGAGUGAAAUCCGUAGAUAUCUGGAGGAACAUCAGUGGCGAAGGCGGCCGCCUGGCCUGUUACUGACGCUGAGGCACGAAAGCGUGGGGAGCAAAUAGGAUUAGAUACCCUUGUAGUC
rnacentral:rRNA from 1 species